rnacentral:rRNA from 1 species
GCUGACGCAGUCGCGGCCGCUGCUCAUUCUCCCUAUAGUGAGUCUUAUUACAGUGAUUGGUCGGAAUUUACCGUAUCGUGGUCUGGGCUGUGUGCUGAGCCAUCUGAAACUCGCGGAAUUUGAAUUAGGGGGCCCCAUGAAUGGAGCCUGCGGGUUAAUUGGCCUUAGUUUGGAAAACUCCCCGGGCCGGAACCCGGGAGGGUUGGACGAUUGGUGACUUUUUCCUGAUUCGGGGGAGGGGGGGGCAUGGCCGUUCUUAAUUCGGGGAACGAUUUGUCUGGUUUAUUCCCAAAACCAACGAAAAUCUGGCCUAAUAAAUAAUUGGUGCAUUGUCUCUGUGCACACGACUUCUUAAAGGGAUUUUCGGUGUUCAUCCGCACGAAAUUGAACAAUAACAGGUCUGUGAUGCCCUUAUAUGUCCGGGGCUGCCCCCCCCCUACACUGGCAAAAUCAUCGUGCUUGUCCUCGUCCGAAAGGACUUGGUAAAGCCGUGAAAAUUUGCCGUGAUUGGGAUCGGACAUUGCAAUAUUGUCCGUGAACGAGGAAUUCCUUGUAGGGGCGAGUCAUCAACUCGCUCUGAAUACGUCCCCGCCCUUUGUACACACCGCCCGUCGCUGCCCGGGACUGAGCCAUUUCGAGAAACUCGAGGACGAACACGCCCAGCUUACGCAUGUACGCUUUGUGUCGUCUGAGAUCGAUUUAAUCGCAUGUCUUGAGCUAGCGAAGUCAUAGCAUGUAGCUGUUAGUGACCUGAAGAGGAUAAGAUCAAGUCGAGUCGCUAAAUCACUCGACCUAGUAGUGAGACGAUGACAUGCCUGGCCCGUCGCGUCUACACAUGGUCCAGGGGUGUUUCCUGGACCCCUAUAUGAGUCUAUACUAAUCCCUGGCCGAU